UAUCUAAGUAAAAAUUGUCUUGUUUUCAAUGUAUUCUGGUUGUUUUACCAGAACUGUGUAAUCUUUUACCAGAAUUAUGUAACCUUGGUCAAGAUUGUACCGAGCGCAAGUAAGUUUUACCAAAUUUGGCGUAAGAUGUUCAUAACGUUGUGUAAACAUUACCGACUUAGGGGGUAUAAUUCCCACGUGCAGGCGCCACGCACGGCCGGAAACGCAGUCAUCGCGAUGUUGCUUGCGCUGCCUUAGUUACUUACUCCAAUCCUCCAUGCUACAACUAGCGAUGACAGCUGACGUUCAUGCGUUAGAGAUGGAAAGGAUGAAACAAAACUUGUGUGACUGGGGCUUUGGAAGUCUGGUACAAAUAUUCGAAGGAAAACAUGAGCCUGGAUCAAUAUCUGAAGGAGAUUGACUGCAAGUCGCAUUCUCAGCCAUACAUCCUGGCACUUGGUGGAACUCCCAUUUCACCACAGCAAGUAUUCGUUGUCAUCGAGGAAGGCUAUGCUGCAACCAUCGCUUACCAAGGCCCUUGAUGUGUGCUUUAAGUUGUAUUUUGUAUGCGAUCUACAGUAGCAGGAUAAGUGCUAUGGUGCUUGGGAGUUUCUUGAAGCGGUUGUGUAUGGCAUAAAGGGAAAAACAGUUAAAAGCAGCGCAAUCAGGGAUUUCCGAGCAUUCUGCUCCAGCAAAAUGUGAGCUCUUCACAAGUUCAUGGUGUUUCAGGUUUUCAAAAAGUUAAGUUAAUAACCAAGUUUACUAACAGAAUGCCUAAGAGCUAAAAGUUCUUGUCUUUAUUUACAUGCAAGCUAGAAAAAAACCUAACUGUGUUUUAUCUGACUAUUGACUUAUGUUUAAUGCUGUAAGCUUUUGUAAGAGUCUGUUUCGAUAAAGGACAUACAUGUUGCCCUUUACUGAUGUAGUAUUAUUAAGUAUUGUAUGUUCAGUGCUAGCCAAGUCCGACAGGAGCACAGCAGGCUUGAAAAUAUAAAUUCUCGCUAAUUUUUGGACUGCAUUGUCGAUACAAGACUGACAAUUAAUACUAUAUUGGUGAAAGGAAAAUCUCAAUGUUUAAAAUGUACACCUCCCCAACAUAAAAACAAAAUAAUUAUCAGUCCAAGAAUGUUCUCAACAAUUUACAUGUGUCAGUAAUUUUUUCAUACCCCCACCCCUCCAAAAAGUAAUAGCCAUUUGGCCUUUGAGUUUUGUAUACAUAGAAAUGAAUGUUUGCAUAGAACUAAAAGACAUAAUACAAGGUGUUAAAUCAAUUCAUCAAUAAGAGGUAAAACCUAAAUCCCAUAAUUAAAGUGUUUAUAAACACUUUAAUUAUGGGAUUCAGGUUUUCUGUAGGUUUUUUGUAUUUUGAACUCCUUUUUCUAUGACCAGUUGAUCUGGUUUUGUUACACAUGUUGACCUAUAACUGUUUUGGUGUUUUACUGUUGUUACAAAUCAAAACUGAAGUAUGUGGACAAACAGUACUGUUUUCAGUACAUGUUAACUUUAAAAGAUUGCCAAAUCCUGCAAUGCGAUUCUUUGUAUACUGAAUUAUUUUACAAUAAGUAAUUGAGAAUAAAUUGAAGUUUUAUAUUUAUAAA